AUGGUCCUCAUCCAAGAAACAACCUGUCACACGUUUUCUUUUUCUUUCUCAUUCAAAUCCAAUUCUCAACCUUAUCAAUCCAGCAACAACACUGCUUAUUCUCCUCCCCAAGCCACCAAUUUUUCUGCUCCUUUAACAAACCCUAAACCCAAAUCCCUUCACUAUAAAUUGAAACCUACAGAACACAAUUGACAGACACAAUUUAACCUAACAACACAAUUUUCACACGCACAAAUAUUCCAAAAAAAUCAAAACCCUAGCUGCCGUAGCUUAGAGAUAGUUACACCCUCAUUCCAUUUUUGAAUCCAUUUGCUGGAUAAUUAAUUUGCUGCGUUUGUUUUUCUUUGCUUAAAGUUGUCAUCUCUUAACAGGAAAUUAAGUUGUGAGGACGUGGUUGAAGAGAUAGAAGAAAGAAAACAAGAACCCACACCCCCGGCUUGUGAUUGAACCCCAUUUUUAUUUCUUUAUUUCGCAUUUUAUUUUUAUCUUUUAGCAUUGUAAUUAUUAUUUUCUAUUCUUUCAUGCAUGUUUAUUUAUUUAUGUCAUUUAUUUUAUUUUUAGACCAUGGAUGUUAGAAUGUAAAUUAGGUUUUGAUGUAAAUAAUUUAUUUAUUUUCUUGUCAUUUAUUUUCUUCUGCAGACCUUAGAAUGUAAAUAGGCUUUUAUGUAAUAGUCGUAGGUGCAUGUGUGUGCGUGUGUGUAUGCCUCUUAUUUGCUUUAUAGUUUAGGUCAAAGGUCCUUGUGGUGGUCCAACGCUACCAUGAGGUACCUACGUUUUUAUUUUAUGUUUCGUUAGUUUAAUUUUAGUCCAAUUAUUCAAAAUCACAAAAACAUGCAAAUAACAAAAAUCACAAAAAAACUUUUUUACAAUAAA